rnacentral:rRNA from 1 species
UGGGGAAUUUUGGACAAUGGGCGAAAGCCUGAUCCAGCAAUGCCGCGUGUGUGAAGAAGGCCUUCGGGUUGUAAAGCACUUUUGUCCGGAAAGAAAUCCUCUGGGUUAAUACCUCGGGGGGAUGACGGUACCGGAAGAAUAAGCACCGGCUAACUACGUGCCAGCAGCCGCGGUAAUACGUAGGGUGCAAGCGUUAAUCGGAAUUACUGGGCGUAAAGCGUGCGCAGGCGGUUUUGUAAGACGGAUGUGAAAUCCCCCGGGCUUAACCUGGGAACUGCAUUCGUGACUGCAAGGCUAGAGUAUGGCAGAGGGGGGUAAAUUCCACGUGUAGCAGUGAAAUGCGUAGAGAUGUGGAGGAAUACCGAUGGCGAAGGCGAGCCCCCUGGGCCAAAUACUGAACGCUCAUGCACGAAAAGCGUGGGGAGCAAAACAGGAUUAGAUACCCUGGUAGUCCACGCCCUAAACGAUGUCAACUAGUUGUUGGGGAUUCAUUUCCUUAGUAACGUAGCUAACGCGUGAAGUUGACCGCCU